CUCAUUUUGGACUGCUCUGCGGCUAAGCACUUAGUGCUGCCUCCUCACAGGUCAAAUCCUGAUCCCAGAUGUUGUCCAUGUGGAGUUUGCACUGUCUCUACGGCUGAGCCCUGGUGCUCCAAUUUCCUUCCACCUUUCCAUGGUACAUUGAUCAGUUAAAUGGCUCCUAUAAACAUCUCCUAAUAUGUCCAAUAUAUGCAGACUCAAUAGUUAAUACUCCUCCCCUGCUAAAGUAGGUGAUAGAGGGGACAAUGAAACAGGUUAUUAAAAUUAUAGGGGAAACGAUCAGCACCAUUCUCUAAAAACUCCGGAGACUGUUAUGCAUCAAAAUCCCAGGAGAUCUUCAGUUCCUGAGAUACUCAAAGUGCCUCAUCUGGCACCAACAAUCAUUCCACAUUUAGAUCACAAUUCUUAGUUCACAAUAUAAGGAAGACAAGUGGUUGUGAUGGGUUCCUCCUCCUAUAUUUCAACGGGGAAGUGUUCUGAAGAAAUACCAGUGUAAUGCCAUACACAAACCUAGAAGGAAACUAAAUCACUGCUUAUAUGUGUAAAAGGGGACCUGGGACUCAGGUUGGCUGGUACUUACAGGAUUCCUUGUCAAUGCGGAGUGGCAUAUAUUGGCCUGUUGGAGCGCACAGUGGAAACGCUCUUCAAGGAGCACAGGAAAUGUUUUGUUUGGGUUACCCAGUGAAAUCGGCUGUAGCAGAACAUUACACUCACAAUAGCCACAGGAUUGGCUUCAAUGGUACAAAACUACUGUUGCAUUGCCAUACCAAUGGCUUUUGGGAUCACCUGGUGAAGAAAGCCAUUGAAUUUAAACAAGAGGAAAAGAAUUUUAAUCAAGACGAAGGUGUCGACUUAAGUAGGAAGGUGGGAGAGCAGAAAUCUGAUUCGAUGAGGACUAAACAAUCAGAAGGGCCAGACCAUGGGUUAUAAAUACCACUGAUCCAGACAUGUCCAGGCAUCAUCCCUGAUGAAGAUGGCAGUGUUUGUCAUCAAAACAACUAAACCUUGAUCAUGUUGGCAUGUUGUUGUGCAUGGAGUUGCUGCCACAUAAUUGGCUGAUUAGAUACUUUCAUUAACGAGCAGAUGUACAGAUGUGCCUAAUAAAGUUGCCACUGACUUCACAUCUUCUGGAUGAAAUUACCAUAAAUAUUUUAGGAUAUUAAUUAUGAAAGGGCUUUCAGUUAGGAAAAUGAAAAGCCACAAUAUUUGAGGAAAAGCUAUGCUGACAAUUAAUUGAGAAUCUUUAUUAGCUGAAUGUCUUUUCAUUUCAGCAGAGGAACUUAAUAUUGCACAGUCAAUUUUAGAGAUAAACUCAUUUUACCCCAAAUUCCUGGAAUAAACUGCCAAGAACCAAGCAAUUCAGUGGAAUCUGAAGUAAAAAUCUGUUUUUUAUGAAAUUGGUCAAAGAAGUGGAAUGAGGCUGAGGCAAAAAAACCAAAAUGAUUGCACAAUGAUUUCAGAAAAUAGCACAAGCUCAUCACAUAGAAAUUAAUUUUGUUUUGUUGUUAUCUUCUAUAUAUACACAAAUAAACCGUUAUAUUUCUACAUCACAACAUUUUAAAGCUAUUUGUAAUAUUAUUUAUUGCUUACACAAGUUUAGCUGCUAAUGUAAAUAACGCGGAGGCAAAUCAUCACAAUUCCAUACCAGACUGAUUUCCUUUGUG